UACGGAGGGUGCAAACGUUGCUCGGAAUCAUUGGGCGUAAAGCGCGCGUAGGCGGCUUGACAAGUUGGAUGUGAAAGCCCUGGGCUCAACCCAGGAUGUGCAUUCAAAACUGUCUGGCUUGAAUCUCGGAGGGGGUCAGGGAAUUCCCGGUGUAGAGGUGAAAUUCGUAGAUAUCGGGAGGAACACCAGUGGCGAAGGCGCUGACCUGGACGAUGAUUGACGCUGAGGCGCGAAAGCUAGGGGAGCAAACAGG
rnacentral:rRNA from 1 species